ensembl:lncRNA
UAUAAAGAUAAUCUUGUGUCUGUUUCUCAUUGCUGUUUAACCAAAUAAUCUCUGAUUGCUCUGUAUUACAGGCUCUUUCCUGAGCCACCGUGGUGCUGUAUCUGAGACAGACCAUCAUCCAUGUACCUCUGGAGUCAGAGCUCUGCAGAGCUUCGCUGUCCUGAGGGCAGUUUCUGUCCAGCCGGUUCUGUAACAGGACAUCAUUCCGACUGUCAGUGUCCGUCUGGUCACUCGUGUCCGUGUGGCAGCGUCCAGCCUGCCAUCUGUCUGCCUGAUACUUAUCAGCCUCUGCCAUCCCAGCCUUCCUGUCAACCUUGCCCACCAGGUUUUAACUGUUUGGAGGGUUGCACCACCCCACUUCCCUAUCCUGCAGGCACUGUGAGUAUAAUUGAGGGGUUACAAUCUCAGCUGGAUUGCUCUCCAUGUCCUCUUGUAUUCUACUGUAACACCAGCGCACUAAUCAGCCCCACCGGACCCUGCUCUGCAGGUCAUUUCUGUUCAGUUGGAGCCACAGAGCCUGCCCCAGUCUCUCAGACAUGUGGAGAUAUAUGUCCGGCAAGAUAUUACUGCUGCUAA